GUCUGGUGUUCUACAGGGUGGUUGGAAAGAGCCUGAGACAGGAGUUCCACAAGGUCCUUGAUCAUUGCAGUCCCAGGCUCAUGGAAAUCUUCAAGGCAAAGAGAGUCCUCACAGGGCAGGACCUGAUGCCACAAAGAAAGGACAUUGAUGAAGAGGAAGAUUUGUGCGGUGGGGAUCCUCUGCCAUGAACGGGAGAACAUCACUCCACACUCACA